GAUGAACGCUGGCGGCGUGCCUAAUACAUGCAAGUCGAGCGAACGGACGAGAAGCUUGCUUCUCUGAUGUUAGCGGCGGACGGGUGAGUAACACGUGGAUAACCUACCUAUAAGACUGGGAUAACUUCGGGAAACCGGAGCUAAUACCGGAUAAUAUUUUGAACCGCAUGGUUCAAAAGUGAAAGACGGUCUUGCUGUCACUUAUAGAUGGAUCCGCGCUGCAUUAGCUAGUUGGUAAGGUAACGGCUUACCAAGGCAACGAUGCAUAGCCGACCUGAGAGGGUGAUCGGCCACACUGGAACUGAGACACGGUCCAGACUCCUACGGGAGGCAGCAGUAGGGAAUCUUCCGCAAUGGGCGAAAGCCUGACGGAGCAACGCCGCGUGAGUGAUGAAGGUCUUCGGAUCGUAAAACUCUGUUAUUAGGGAAGAACAUAUGUGUAAGUAACUGUGCACAUCUUGACGGUACCUAAUCAGAAAGCCACGGCUAACUAAGUG
rnacentral:rRNA from 1 species